UAUGCUCCGAUGGGCUAGUGGAGGUGAUCUGGGGUGUACGUCACUGAACUGGUCUUUUUGUACCCUUCCUUGAGUGCGUGUGACGUAACCUCAGUAGUGAACGCGGCGCGGCCUCGAGCGAGUACGACUCCCGUCUGAUGCCCGUCCGCCCGUCCACUCAGCAGCUAUAGCAGCGCAUGCUCUCGCACACUCCCAUCCGAUGCACACCCGCCCGUCCACUCGGCGGCUAUAACAGCGCAUGCUCUCUCGCACUCCCCAUCCGACGCCCGCCCGCCCGUCCGCUCGUAACUACGUUGGCUUCUUUGAGCGACUGUAUAUAAUCUCUCCAUUGUUACAAAGGGCAACGUUGCGUGCCCGUAAACACGAUCAUUAAAUGAUAUGGGGCAUUAUAUACCCGUUUCGUAAAAGGGGAGGUGUAGGUGAGUGCAAAGGGGAGGGGUAUCGAGUGUUAGAAGAGAGAGAAACCCUAACAAGAACUCUCUUCCCCUCUUCCUUAACGUACCCUUUAACUAAUAACCGAAACUAAGAAGAAAGGGGGUUGUUAUAAAGAUCAAGGAUCAGUCUAGACCACUUUAGCACUUCCACUCUGACGUUAAAAAUGGGAUAGUACACACGGUGCUAAACGACGGGGGAAGAGACAAAUAAACAAGAACACUAAUCUUGAACGAUCGUACUUGCGUAGAUCACGAAGAAAAGUAAACCGAAGAAAAAAAAUGAACUAACCUUCGAUGUUGGAAGGUCUAGACUUCUUUGGAGAAUGAUCUCAUUAUUAGAUCGUCAUGAAACGUAUAUACACACGUGCGUACAUUAGAAUUUAGACCGUAUCUUGUUAGAGAGAUAAUAACCAAGAUGACUGAUGUAUAUGCAUGUAGAGUGAACAAAGAAUAUGUAAAUAAAGUAGAUUAUAGGUCUACAUAUGCCUUAGACAGGUAAUACAAUAGUUCUUUGCUGCCUGCAAUCCACAAGAUCGACAUUACAACCGGUAACAGGCCACCGCAGCAGCUGCAUCUGUAAUGUUAGAAUCUUACAGAGCUUCUUUCAUACCCGGUAACCAACUAUCUCUAGACCUCUCCGUUUUUUUCAACUUACUGGACAUGUUAAGUUGGCUAUUUUUAACGUAGUCAGUUGAGGCCUGCUGCCCCAGCGACGCGUCACCCAAACUACUACACUUGUUUGUUCAUUACGAGAGGGUUAGAUGAGAUCUACCGAAUAGCCGGUUACUAGCACCUUAAGAGAGAUUUGGCUAAGUCAAGAUGCUGUUCAACUUCCUUAAUAAAUCACCGAGCAGCCGUCUACCGAGAAAAUACGUUCUGGGAAAGAGACGUCGACUUUGACUGUUACUACUAUUCCAUUUUCUACUGUACUACUUACUAUACAGGUGGAAACUACUUCGGUUCCCAGGUUGUCCAGUACUGAGCCUAUUUAAUCUAUGUCUAUCACUACUAACACUUCGCCACCGACGAGAACGACGUUGACUAUCAGUUCAAAGGAGCAGGUUACAACGCCGAGAUUUCGGAUUGUUCUUUUCAAAGUUUUUUUCACGUUUCGGUUUAUGAGACGGUGGUGGUGUUUUACUAUUUCGAUUUUCCAGUUUCGGUUCUAGUAGAGUUCGUAGUGUUCUACUGUGAUUAUACCUACACGACGAGUGUUCAUGAAACUAUCCGUAUGCUCUUUGAGAACGUUCAGGUCAUGUCUGACAUCGGGGUUUCCUGGGUUUACGAGGAAAUACCCUGUACGAGUUCUUCUAAGGCAACGGUGGACUACUCUCCUACAGCCAGCCCUACGUAGAUACGUUUGGUCUUAAACGUCAGGUAGCUCCAAAAGAACAGUCGUACCCAGUUCUUAUGGACCUCGUAACCCACAUAUGUAUGAAUAGACUGUUAAUAGGACGACCGUUUGCACAGCCGCUACUAGAACAACCAUUGGAACCUUUGUUUCUAGGACGAUCAUUGGAACCGCUACUAGGACGACAAUUGAGAUCGGGAAAGACUCAUUCUAACUAACCACCAGAUGGUAUAACAACCUAGGAAAACCAACGUUUUGUGAUCAAAGAUUCAUCAAUUACUGAUCGAAAACCGAUACGUGUUGACUACAGAUUCAUUACCGAUUACCACCAUAAUAAAACGAUGUCGGAAGACGAAUCAAAGGUUCAUCAUAGUCGUACGUACUAUACUAAUAAUCUACGAUUACACUUUCAACACAACGAAAGACUGAACCUAUUCAAAGAUCCAUCAUAAUACUACUUAUGUAUUAAUCUGAAGACCAAUACAAUUAGGGUGUUCCUAUUAAACACAUAGAGAACGUAAGGUCUACACGACCUGUUACUCAUAAUUAGCUUACAUUACGUGACACCAAUAAGUUGUCGUUACAACAACACAUAGCAGUCUCAAUAUUUUAGUAAACGGAAGUC
rnacentral:rRNA from 1 species